CUUCUCUCCCACAGCCCUCCCGAGCCGGCGCCUCCCUGGAACUUGGCUCUGCCCCCAGCGCAGGCGGGCACCGGCCGGCUCCGCGCUCCGCCGUCCGCAGCGCCCAGGUGCGGGUCCCGGCCGCCGGCCGCUGGGCUGCACUGCGCGCCGCGGGCCGCAGGGCUCCCUCCCGGCCAGGCUGGCUCCCGCCUCCCCGAGCCCCAGCCUCACCCCGCUGUCAUCACUACAUUGUAGAUGACCAGUUAUCUUCAGCUGGAAGAAAUCUAGUCCAAGAGAGUCAAAUAAUGUCUUCUGAAAAUUGAUCACAGGCCUCAGAGACUACUGGAGUUGUCAUCCUUGAUGUGAAGCUCUUUCUGCAGUUGUGUGAGAAUUUGGAAUAUGGGGAUCUUGCCCUGUUGCCCAGGCUGGAGUGCAGUGGCAUGAU